rnacentral:lncRNA from 1 species
AUGGGAAGUCAGAGGCAGGGGCAGUUCAGGAGGGAGGCCCCACCCCAGGCCCUGAGCUAUGGCUACGGUACUGGUCCAGAGCGAUGGAGCCCACAGGUACUUGGGAUGGAGCCCAGUAGCUCCAGGGCAGGCGGUGCCCCCCAGAAAGGACUGACUUCCUCCUCCUUGGCCUUAGGUCAGCCUCACCAGGCACGUCAAAGUCCAGGUCUCAGCAUGACCACUGAGGACCAGCAGGGAAGUCUAGUUAGUCAAUUCACCGGCGUCAAGGCCAGAACACACCCUGGCCUGUGGAUGAGGGUGAUGGUUAUCUGAAGAGGAAUGACUAUGUCCACAGUCAGUCAUUCUGAGGAGGGCUUAAUAUCAGGCCGAGGAUGAAACUUCAGAGAGAAAGAUCUUAGGAUACUUCUACUUUCUGAGCUAGGGAAUGUAUUUGAUCUAGACUCAGACAUGAAGGAGUUUGGAUUGGGUCCAGUGGAGGAGGAGGGGAGCUCUCCCUGGCUCCAUGGUGAUCACUGGAAGUGAAAUAGGGACUCAGACACUGAGAAACCAGGAGGUGAAUCAGGGCUGGCUAAGUGGGCUGAGUGGAUAAGGGAUGGCAGAGUCCUCUCUCCUGAGACAAUCAUGGGAACGCAUUCCUGUGACAGAGAUCCCCAGAUAUUUAAUGUAGUGCUUGGCGAGUGCUCCAGAGCGGCAGAGCUCCAUACUCUACAGGCCAUCAGGGACCUGGAAAUGAUUCCACCGACGUUCCUCAAGGCAGUGGUUCUCAAUGUGGGAUUCCACAGAGUCAAAACUGUUUACCCAACAAUACUAAUGUUUGCUUUUUUCACUUUCAGCCUCCCAUAGUAUAGAAUGGAAUUUUUCACCUACCUAAUAGGUGAUGUCACAGCAGAUGCAUAAGUGAACGACAGUCUUGCUGUCAUUUUUAAGCCAUACCUUUUUUUUUUUUCUUUUCUUUUUAGAGCCACAGCCACGGUAUAUGGAAGUUCCUUCCCAGGCUAGGGAUUGAAUCGGGGCUGCAGAUGCCAGCCUAUACCACAGUCACAGCAACAUGGGAUCUGAGCUGCAUUUACGACCUACCCCACGGCUCACGGCAAUGGCGGAUACUUCACCCACUGAGUGAGGCCAGGGAUUGAAUAGUAUCCUCAUGGAUACCAGUCAGGUUCUUAACCUGCUGAACCAUAAUAGGAACUCUCUUAAGCCAUACUUAAAGAGAUUUGCCAGUUUCUAUUUCAGAAGCUGAACUUUCUUUUUUUUUAAAUUGAAAUAUAGUUGGUUUACAAUAUUGUGUAAGUUUGGGGUGUAUAGCAAAAUCGUUCAGUUAUAUACAUAUUUUUCAGAUUACUUUCCAUAGGUUAUUAGAAGAUACUGAGUAUAGUUCCCUGUGCUAUAUGGUAAAUCCUUUUUGCUUAUCUAUUUUAUAUGGAAUACUUUGUAUCUGCUAAUCCCAUACUCCUAAUCUGCCCUUCUUUGCCCUUUGGUAACCAUAAAUUUGUUUUCUGUGUUUAUGAGUCUGUUUCUGUUUCUGUAAAUAAGUUCAUUCAUAUCAUUUUUAAGAUUCCACAUAUAAGUGAUAUCAGAUGAUAUUUGUCUUUGUCUAACUUACUUCACUUAGUACGAUUAUCUCUAGGUCACACAUGUUGUUGCAAAUGGCAUUACUUCAUUCUUUUUUGUGGCUGAGUAAUAUUCCAUUGAAUGUAUGUACCACAUCUUCUUAAACCAAUUGUCUGAUAGGUGAAUUUUUCUUCAAUAUGUUUUCAAAUUUUCAUGGAGUUCCACUGCAACUCCCUAAACACUGAGUGUUGAAAAAAAAUAUGAGACAAAGUUCCUGUUUCUGUCUAAUCCAAAAGACAUAUCUUAGAAACUGACAAAGAUUAAUAUGUAAGGGAUCUGAGCUGUUUUUUUGUGAUUAUAAAUAAAGCUGCUAUAUAUCUUUGUUUUUAUGUGGAU